rnacentral:rRNA from 1 species
UACGGAGGGUGCAAACGUUGCUCGGAAUCAUUGGGCGUAAAGCGCACGUAGGCGGACCGCUAAGUCGGAUGUGAAAUCCCUCGGCUUAACCGAGGAAGUGCAUUCGAAACUGACGGUCUUGAGUAUGGAAGAGGGUCGCGGAAUUCCCGGUGUAGAGGUGAAAUUCGUAGAUAUCGGGAGGAACACCAGUGGCGAAGGCGGCGACCUGGGCCAAUACUGACGCUGAGGAGCGAAAGCCAGGUGAGCAAACGGG